UGGGGGAUAUUGCACAAUGGGGGGAAACCCUGAUGCAGCAACGCCGCGUGAAGGAAGAAGGUCUUCGGAUUGUAAACUUUUGUCCUUGGUGAAGAUAAUGACGGUAGCCAAGGAGGAAGCUCCGGCUAACCACGUGCCAGCAGCCGCGGUAAUACGGAGGGUGCGAGCGUUAAUCGGAAUGACUGGGCGUAAAGGGCACGCAGGUGGCGAGAUAACCGUUGGAUGUGAAAUUCCCGUGCUUAACAUGGGGACUGCAUCCAAAACUGUUGAACUGGAGUACUGUAGAGGGAGGUAGAAUUCCACGUGUAGCGGUGAAAUGCGUAGAGAUGUGGAAGAAUACCAGAGGCGAAGGCGGCCUCCUGGACAGAUACUGACACUGAGGUGCGAAAGCGUGGGUAGCAAACAGGAUUAGAUACCCUGGUAGU
rnacentral:rRNA from 1 species